UACAGAGGGUGCGAGCGUUAAUCGGAAUUACUGGGCGUAAAGGGUGCGUAGGUGGCCUGAUAAGUCAGAUGUGAAAUCCCUGGGCUUAACCUGGGAAUUGCAUUUGAUACUGCCAGGCUAGAGUGUGAUAGAGGUAAGCGGAAUUCCCGGUGUAGCGGUGAAAUGCGUAGAUAUCGGGAGGAACAUCAGUGGCGAAGGCGGCUUACUGGAUCAACACUGACACUGAGGCACGAAAGCGUGGGUAGCAAACAGGAUUAGAUACCCUGGUAGUCCACGCCCUAAACGAUGUCGACUAGCCGUUGGGCUCAUAAAAGAGCUUAGUGGCGCAGUUAACGCGAUAAGUCGACCGCCUGGGGAGUACGGCCGCAAGGCUA
rnacentral:rRNA from 2 species